UCUGUCCCUGUGCAGCCGCCGUAGGGGCCGUCGGUAGCGCCGGGCGGCUUGUGCCACCGCCGCCGCCAUGGAUUACCGCGCGGAGGUGAUGAGGCAGGCCGUGCCCGGGCAGUUCGAUGACGCGGAGUGCUCCGACAGUGACCUUGCAGAAGACUCAGAAACAGUUCAGGAAGAUGAGUUUGCUGAGAGCUGCCAGUCAAGUUUGUGCAAAGGAAUCAACGCGAAGGAAGGAGAUAGUGACGAUGACAAUGCUGAUGAAGAGGAAGAUGAUGAUGAUGACUGGGAUUGGGAUGAUGAGAUGGGAAGACUCAUGAAGUGCCACAGCACUGCUGCUGGAUGCAAUCCACAGGCAAAUAGACAGACCCCUAGUUGCUAUUCAGCAAAAAUGUCUACCCCUACAGACAAGGCUUUGAGGAAAUUUGAGCAUAAAAUUAAUUUAGAUAAGCUGAAUUUUGAUGACUCUGUUAUAAACCGAGUCACAGAAAAGUCUAGACAGAAGGAAGCAGACAUGUGCCGAGUCAAAGAUAAGUCAGACAGAGCAACAGUAGAACAAGUGCUGGACCCAAGGACCCGAAUGAUUCUGUUCAAGAUGCUGAGUAGAGGUGUCAUAUCAGAAAUCAAUGGCUGCAUCAGCACGGGGAAAGAGGCUAAUGUGUACCAUGCCAGUACUGCAAACGGAGAGAAUAGAGCAAUAAAGAUUUACAAAACCUCUAUUUUGAUGUUCAAGGAUCGGGAUAAGUAUGUGAGCGGUGAAUUCAGAUUUCGUCACGGAUAUUGUAAAGGCAACCCAAGAAAAAUGGUGAGGACGUGGGCUGAAAAAGAAAUGAGGAAUUUAAUAAGGUUGAAUACAGCACAGAUACCUUGCCCAGAGCCAAUUAUGCUGAGAAGUCAUGUGCUUCUCAUGGGCUUUAUUGGUAAAGGCGAUAGGCCUGCCCCUCUGCUGAAGAACGCACAGUUAUCUGACUCGAAGGUUCGGGAGCUGUACUCGCAAGUCAUCCAGUACAUGAGAAGAAUGUACCAAGAUGCCAGACUUGUUCAUGCAGAUCUCAGUGAAUUCAAUAUGCUGUACCACGGUGGGGAUGUGUACAUCAUUGAUGUGUCUCAGGCAGUAGAACAUGACCACCCGCAUGCACUGGAGUUUCUGCGAAAGGAUUGUGCCAAUGUUAAUGGCUUUUUCCAGAAGCACAAUGUUGCAGUGAUGACCGUGAGGGAACUGUUUGAGUUUAUUACUGAUCCUUCUAUCACAAGUGAGAACAUCGAUGACUAUCUAUCAAAGGCAAUGGAAAUAGCAUCAAAAAGAACAGAGGAGGAAAGAUCCAGUCAAGAUAAAGUGGAUGAGGAAGUGUUUAAGAAGGCUUAUAUACCUCGAACUUUGACUGAAGUUAAAAACUAUGAGAGAGAUGUGGAUAUAAUGAUGAAAUUGAAAGAAGAGGAUUUGGCAUUGUGUGUUCAGCAAGAUAAUAUUCUCUACCAGACCGUGACAGGAUUGAAGAAAGAUUUGUCUGGUGUUCAGAAGAUUCCUGCACUUCUAGAAAAGAAGACAGAUGAGUCAGAAACAGGUUCUGGUGAUGAUGGUGACAGUUCAGAGGACUCUGAUUCAAGCUGUAAAGAGUCUCGACAUCCCAAAGAUCUUCCUGCUACAGUUACUAUGGAUAAAAAGGGUGGAGUUGAUGCUCUGGGGAUUACACUUACAGGACACACGCUGUUUGAUGACAGAAGAAGGCUGUUCUCCAUCAGCGGGUAUCCAGUAAUAAUGGGCUGGCCGGAGGCAAGGUGAAGCUUUCUUCUCUGCUCCUCCCCUUCCACACCCAUAAGAGAUUGCGGGAUGGUCACACGCAAAGACCGAGAUGUUGGCCAAUUGCACACAUGGUUGCUCCACUAAGGAGCACGUUUUCUCAAGGAAAUGUGGUCUGGUUGCACUCCUCAGCUUGACCUCUACAACCCCUUACAUUCCUUUGACUAGAAUUGUGGUCAGUGCUUCCAGACACCUCCCUCCUUUUCUCCCUGUCCCCACAGGGAUUGAUAGACUGUUAUGUACAGUGUGCAGGUAAGUUUAGAUGGGAUUGCUGGAACGUGUUGGGAAGCAAGACUGGUUUUGCCUCAGCAAGUAGGGAUGCUUGUUGGCAGACUGUGGAAAAACGCAUGCAUUUUGGAAAAUGACGUGACAUCAGGUGCAAGAAAGGUGACUAACUUGGUAGUGAAGGAAGAGAGAGGUAUAAGACCUACACCCUCAGAUGAGCAAGUACUGUUGAUGGCCAUUUUUCUUUUGCCAGGGGCUGAGGUCCUACUGACUCCAUGGACGUAUCUUCUUUUGCUUGCCAUCAUGGGAACUUGCAUGGUGGCAUAAUCAGGCAAUGUGGCCUUCAUGAUGGCUGCCAUUAAUAUGGCUGGUUGUCUUCGUGGGUGCAAAAGGUUUUGUGCGCUUUGCCAUUGAAUCACAUUGUAUCAGUCAUUCUUCCCUGCUGACAAACUGACAUGGAUAACAUCCAUGUUUCAUUAAAGUGUAUGCACUGGAAAGUGAUGGGAGGAGGCUGGUGGUGGUGGCAGGGAGUUGUGUCCCAUCUGUUGCUUUCCUCUAGCAAGGAGUUGUGCACUGGGCAAACUUCAGUGUGUUUUGUGAAGUAGGCCAAGCCUGAGUGGAUCUCUAACAAUCUCUGUGCACUCCAAGUUCAGGUAGGCCACCAGUGGACUUCUCUGCCAGAAAACUGGUUCGUGGCUGGCUGUGAGCAUGGGGUUGCCAGACACAAAGGCAGCCCCAUUUUCUUUGGGAUUGAGUGCUCUGAAGAUGAGGGGAAAUACUGGAUCUUGGUGUCGGGCCUGGAAGCUACUGACCCAGAGCGUGUGCCCCACUGAGGGCUUUUGCCUUCCUUACCUGAGGAAGCACUUCAGAAAAUGGAGGCUGCUGUGAUCAGGACUUGGGGGAAGAAGAACUGUCCCAACUCACAUAGCCUUGUCUUUCCUCUAGGCCAUGUGGCACAGCCUGAUCAAGUUUGCCCUGCUCUAGCCAUCCUGUACCAUGAAGGGGGGCCUGAAUCAGCCAUUUAGGAGCAUUGCUCGCAGCUGUGUGCAGCAGGACUGCUUGUGCAGGCUAUGCAAAGCUGACUUUCUGCCUCAGGUGCUUUUCUCUAGGUAUGUAGUCAAGGUGUUUGCAAAGCAUCUGUGGAGGAGCAUGCCAAAAGAGCCUGUGUUUUGCAAGUGCAGGUGACCUGAGGAUAACUUACAGCUGGGUAUGCAUUUGUUGAGGUGGGCUGUGAGAGCAUUUCAUAUGCCCUGGCUAUUGCAGGCUUGAGGUGUGGAGAAGUGGAGCAGUCCGCAGGCGCUGGGUGCGCCAGGAACUCUUUGGGCAAGGCCCAUGAGAUGAGCCAUCCUUCUGGUGACCCUUGUGGCAGGAAAAAGGCCAUUAAAGAUAUGUUAGGGACAUAACUAGCUAAAGAUAUCAGUCUGGUAGUAGGUGGAGUGGAUGAGGAGGGCAUGCAUUUGUAUCCUGUACUAAAGAAAAAGUUUUGAAGUUCAGAGUAGCUUAGGAUAUUCAGUUAUGCUGUAUGGACAUCAGCGUAUGAUGAGGUAGGGUCUUCUUUCCUGAAUAAUAGGAUCUGAAGAGGCCUACUUGCUUUGCGUUUGCCAUAGCAACAUAUUUAUAGCAUGCCCUAUCACUGUUACCUGUGCAGGUGGAGUAUUGCUAGGGCAGGAAUGCCAGUACCUGCUAUAAGAACUGGGCCGCAAGCAGCUCAAGGUAAUGCUGCUGCUUUAUCCUUCCUCUUUUUCUUCCUCUCUCUUACCGAGGUUACUGAUAGGGCUCUGGGAUCUCCUGUGGGCUGUGGGAAGUAUCACACCCCCGUGGUGCAACGUGAGCGGACAGACCGUGGGGAGGUUGGCCAUGGGGUAACUGGUGGGCUGCGGCCGCUGCAGAUGGCUGAGAUGGGUUACAGCAGUGCUGAGGCUGAUAUGAUAACUAUCCCUUAGGCGGUGAGAAUUCCUUUCUGUUGACCGCAAAUCUGUUUCCCCUUCACUCCAUUGCUCACAGGGUAUUCAAGUGUCAAAAUGCAGCAUCCAGAUGAGUUUCUUUUCCCCUUCUGAAUGAAAACAUCUGUACUGCUGUCACGACUUGAACUCAAGCUGCUUUGUCACCAUGGCUUUGGGAACGCUUCUGUAAGCAGGACUAUAUAUUGUCUGACAUGUUUGUCAAAGCAUGCGUGUUUUGUUAUCUGCAUUCUCCAAAAAUGGAUGGGAACCCAAUUCUGUCAGGCAAUCGGUAUGAGUUUUUGCAGCUGCGAAAGAAACAGCAUGGCUAACUAUGAGCUGCUUUAACGCUCUUUUCUGGCUAAAAUAUCUGCCACCUAUGAAAUCAAAACACCCAUAUGUAAAAUUUUCAUUUGGAAAACCAGGUAUGCUAAUUUAAGAGAAGAUUAUAGCCUUGUUUGGGGAAGUGUGGUGAAUAAGAUGCAAAAAGCAUUGUGUCUGACCAAAUCCUAAGGCUGGUGUUUAGUUCUGGUCAGAACAUGGACCCACAGGGCAUGCUUUUUUUUGACCCCCGGCCUGAUGCUGUGUGUGACAUCAGCUACCACAUGAGGAGGAGGUGGUGGCAUCACCCAUGGCCAUCCCAAGAUGGCUCAGCCCUGUGGUGUCAGUGCAGGAAGAAGCACAGCCAAGUUGUAGGAGCCUUGUGAGGAGAGACUGAGAGGGCCGAGGCUCCUCAGUUUGGACAGGAGAAAGCAAAAGAGCAAGAUAAGAGGUUUAAGGAAUGACAGAAACAGCAAAGAAAGCGAAUGCUGAAGUGUUAUUCACCAAACCCUACAAUAGUAGUUACGGGGAACUUAACCUGGUGGAGAGUUGGUUUGAAGCAGGUAGAAGUGCUUUUCAUGGGACAGCCCACAGCAGGGAAGGUAAGCAGAGGCUGAAAAUCAGCUCUCUAAUCUGAGGUACCAUUAACUUAUUUAACUUUGUAUUUUUAAACAGACUGAACAUGUGAAAGGCGUCGGGUUCUCGGACACGAGUCAGAUACUUGGAAAGAUGCAUUUCUUGGAAUUUGCAGCCAAAAGCUUUAGUGAUAUCUGAAAGCAUACGUACGUACAGUGGAAGUAUUUACAACUGUACUAUCAAAGACAAAAACAUAAAAAAGCCAUUAGUUCUAUCGUAGGACAUUCCAGAGCAGUCUCAUCUGCCAGUGACUGAGCCUCCGUGGGAGGGGAGGAGUAGGGAAGAAAUACUCUCAGCAGGUGUCUUCUGUUCCAUAAAAGUUGAUCUGUGAGGUGUCCGAGUUCUCUUUCCUUUUUUUCCCCACUCCAUCCAUCUUCCUAAAACGCUGUACAGCCAAUUUGCCCUCUGAGCUGUUGUCGUCAGACUUCAUCUCGGUUCUGAGGAGUGUGCCAGUUGUUCAGUCUGAUAUUGAUUUAUUGCUUCUCCCGCACUAUGGGUCUUACAAUAUGUAGCAACAGAAGGACUGGGAGGUGGAGGCUUGUGGAUUUGUUUUCUCUGUGGUGAAGCCAGUAGAACCAGCUUUGCACUUAAGGAGUGGCUGCGUAGAGGGUUUUCUUUUCGUUUCUGUGCUGAAAUAUUUGGAUUAAACAAUGCAAAACUAGCUGUGGCAGGCCUCUGGAGCUCAGGCACACGCUUGCUUUUGGCAUGUGUGCUCAGACAAGAGUCGCAGCGAUGGUCCCUUAAAAUAGAAAAGAAGUGAGGCCGCUGUUUUCGGAGGACCAAUGUGUCCUGCAGCUUUUGUUCACAGCCACUUGAGAUGCUAUUGAUGUAUGGCUGCAGAGGCAGGAGAAGGAUUCCACAAACAUUCCGUUACUUUAUUUAGGAAUGGGAUGCUGUAAAUAUGAGGCACCGAUACAGAACAUGGCGAGUGCUUCUUCUCAGCAUAUCUUUAAUCCUGUAGGAUGCUCCCUGGGUGUGCUCGCAGAAUGGUGGAGCAAGAACUCACCCUCAUCAAGUCUGCAGCUGACACCAAACUGGGAAGAGCCAUCAUCAUAGGCUGCCACUCAGAGGAACCUGGGCAGCUGGAGGAAUGGGCCAACAGGAACUUUAUAAAAUUUGCCAGCAGUUUGCUCUGGCAGCAAUGAAGAUCAAGAGCCUGAUACAGCUUGGGCUAUAUCAGCAGGAGCACGGGCAGUGUAUUCAGGGGAGUGAUUAUGUGUCAUUUGGAGGUUAUUUCCUAGGAAUCCACACAGAAAAUAAGACCUCAGAGCUGUUGCAAUAAGGUUUAUGUGGGUGUUUGGGGAAAGAAAGUGAAGUACACCAGCUCUUGAACACUGAGCAACAACACAGGAGCAAUAAUUGAGGACGGAGAAGGAAGAGAACAUUCCAUUGUAAGUCUGAGUGAAAUUUACACAUCUUGAGAGCUGUGGUAAUCACAGAUGGUUCCCAGUGUCUGCCUCACAAUAUUCUGGUCUUGCUGAUGAUGACUACUCAAGUUUAAAAUGGGUUACAGUGCUGUUUGCGCUUUUGUAAUGGAGUGGAAUACAGUUGUCACAGAAGAGCUUCCCAUUUUUGCAUUUCUGUUCAACAUGACUCAACUGGAUAGAAGAGAAUGGCGUCCACUUCUCACUUCUGAAUUUGUCUUCAGAGAGUUGUGGAUGUGUGUGGCAGGGAGAGGCUGCCUCUUUUUUCCUUCACUUGUAAUGCGUACUUUAUAGUAACAAAAUUCCCUGUUAAAUGAUCACAAUUAAAAGACUCCUAAGAAA